rnacentral:lncRNA from 1 species
AUAAAUACCUCUGUUGUCCUGCAAUAAACGGCUCCCACUCCUGCUGUAUCAACGUACACAAGUUAUUCGUCACCCCCCGGUUAUUUUGCUGCAGCCAGCCGGACUGCGGCAGAUGGUGGCCCGUUACGGGGAGCCCCGGGACACUUGGGGGUAAGUGACGAAAAAAAAAGCUGCCCGUUCUUAGAUAGGACGGGAGCAAAUCUGCUCGUCCCUAGGCAGAUAGGGCGAGAGGAAAAAUGGCCAUUUCGAGAAAAUGGAGAAGAUUGAUACAGUAUGUUUGUGUCUUGUUUUGUCUUAAAAUGUUGUAUUGUCUUUGUGAUGAAAAUAUGGAAGGGGUGUUAAGUAAAUUACUAAGGGAAGAAGGCACCCCAGUGGAACCAAGAAUAGUUAGGGCAAGUGUUGAUAGAAGCCCAGGAACUCUAGUCAGAAAGAAACAGAAAGUUCAGAAGAAGAAAGAUUAUCAGAGGAGGAAGGAUUAUCAGGAAAAAAGUUGCAGCAAAAGGCUAUUACUAAAUACUUUUCGUUACCGGAGGGUGCGUGAAGCGGAGAGGCGGCUGCCGAGUGUGCAAGCCGGUCACAGCGCAGCAAGGAUUUUCCAAGAGGCGGCGGCAACUGGCUCUUCCCGGCCUCCUGGCCGGGGAGCUGGCUCUUCCACUGCCGCGAGCCCAAAUCUAGACCUGACCUGGAGGCACAGUCUCGCAGGCUCUUGCUCCCUGUGCCCAGUAGCAGUUUGAGUCCGGGACACUCCCCAGGGCCAUCUGGGGCUGCCCAGGACCCUACAGCCAGCAAAAGACGCUACCGGUGGCGUCCCUGAUGUUUGGUCAUUUCCAAGACCAGUAACUACAAUGGUUCUCCCACACCUGGAAGCUAAUGAGUAAUGAGCACUAUUAAGGCUUAUUUCAAAUGUAAAAAACCUUGAGAUAAUGUACUAAAUUGUUCAGAAGGUUGUUUUCUUAGUAGAAUGCUACAGGAUUUUCUUUAGCCAUCCGGAGUUCCUGCCUUCGUCCCAGUGCCGGUAAAGACCAAGGUGGAAGAAUUUCCAGUGUUGCUGAAAACCGGA